GACGAACGCUGGCGGCGGGCUUAACACAUGCAAGUCGAACGGAAAGGCACUGCUUGUGUGGUGUGAUCGAGUGGCGAACGGGUGAGUAACACGUGAGUAACCUGCUCUUGACUUUCGGAUAACUUCAGGAAACUGGGGCUAAUACCGUAUAGGAUCUCCUGUAGCAGUGUGGGCGUUGGAACGUCUCGGCGGUUGGGGCUGGAUGCGCGGCUUAUCAGCUUGUUGGUGGGGGAGUGGAUUGCCAAGGCAUUGACGGGUAGCCGGCCUGAGAGGGUGACCGGCCACAUUGGGACUGAGAUACGGCCCAGAGUCGUACGGGAGGCAACAGGGGGGAACAUUGCACAAUGGGCGGACGCCGGAUGCAGCAACGCCGCGUGCGGGAUGACGGCCUUCGGGUUGUAAACCGCUUUCGCCUGUGACGAAGCGUGAGUGACGGUAAUGGGUAAAGAAGCACCGGCUAACUACGUG
rnacentral:rRNA from 1 species